GCUUACUGCCAUACCAGCCGAAGAACGCUCGAUCUCGUCUGAUCUCGGAAGCUAAGAAGGCUUGGGCCUGGUUAGUACUUGGAUAGGAGACUGCCUGGGAAUACCAGGUGCUGUAAGCU
ensembl:rRNA 5S_rRNA 5S ribosomal RNA